rnacentral:rRNA from 1 species
AUUCUCUGGUGUUGAAGGCCCUGCAAAGCAGCAUCGCGGUGGCGGAGCGUCGUUUGCGACGCCCAACACACAAAACAAGCGGUGAGUGCUUUGGGGUGGGGUGACUGCGUACCUUUUGUAUAAUGGGUCAGCGACUUAUAUUCUGUAGCAAGGUUAACCGUAUAGGGGAGCCGAAGGGAAACCGAGUCUUAACUGGGCGUUAAGUUGCAGGGUAUAGACCCGAAACCCGGUGAUCUAGCCAUGGGCAGGUUGAAGGUUGGGUAACACUAACUGGAGGACCGAACCGACUAAUGUUGAAAAAUUAGCGGAUGACUUGUGGCUGGGGGUGAAAGGCCAAUCAAACCGGGAGAUAGCUGGUUCUCCCCGAAAGCUAUUUAGGUAGCGCCUCGUGAACUCAUCUUCGGGGGUAGAGCACUGUUUCGGCUAGGGGGUCAUCCCGACUUACCAACCCGAUGCAAACUGCGAAUACCGAAGAAUGUUAUCACGGGAGACACACGGCGGGUGCUAACGUCCGUCGUGAAGAGGGAAACAACCCAGACCGCCAGCUAAGGUCCCAAAGUCACAGUUAAGUGGGAAACGAUGUGGGAAGGCUCAGACAGCCAGGAUGUUGGCUUAGAAGCAGCCAUCAUUUAAAGAAAGCGUAAUAGCUCACUGGUCGAGUCGGCCUGCGCGGAAGAUGUAACGGGGCUAAACUGUGCACCGAAGCUGCGGCAGCGACGCUUAUGCGUUGUUGGGUAGGGGAGCGUUCUGUAAGCCUGCGAAGGUGUCCUGUGAGGGAUGCUGGAGGUAUCAGAAGUGCGAAUGCUGACAUAAGUAACGAUAAUGCGGGUGAAAAGCCCGCUCGCCGGAAGACCAAGGGUUCCUGUCCAACGUUAAUCGGGGCAGGGUGAGUCGACCCCUAAGGCGAGGCCGAAAGGCGUAGUCGAUGGGAAACGGGUUAAUAUUCCCGUACUUGGUGUUACUGCGAAGGGGGGACGGAGAAGGCUAUGUUGGCCGGGCGACGGUUGUCCCGGUUUAAGCGUGUAGGCUGGUUUUCCAGGCAAAUCCGGAAAAUCAAG